GGUGGCUGUCGGUUUAAGCAGUUGCGUGCGCGCUCUCUCUCUCUCUUCUGGGACCCUCGGGAGCGGCGGCUCCGGCGCCAGGUGGCAAGACGCGGGUCUCGGAGACGCCAGCCUCCGUGCAUCCCACUGUGGUUCGGGGGUGGUGGUUUUUAAGUACGGAAGGGCCCUUGGUUCCACCGGAGGAAUCUGCCGUGGGUCCCCGAGUUCCUGGAGCUGUCUUCCGUAUACCUGAGUCAGACCAGAGCACAGUCCGAAGGGCGGGCAGGAGGGCUCAUCUGUGUACUGUGUGCAGUAAAACAUUCCAGCCAUCUGUCAGGAAAGUGUUCCCACUAUGGAUUUCAAGUCUGUCUCAGAGCAACAGUCCAAGACCAGGACCUCUUCUAGGGAGAUGAGAAGACUGAGUCCUACAAACAUUAAAUGAUUUUCUCAAGCAGCCUCAGUGCAUAAGAAUUGGGGUCCAGACCACCACUCCGUCAGCCUGCCUCUAGGUGUGAAGGAGCGAGUGCCUGAUCAGAAUGGCUGUGGGAUGGUUUUACCUGUCGGCCCUGGCGCUGUUCUCCCUGGGCUCCAUGUGCAUCCUCUCCACCAUCUAUUGGAUGCGGUACUGGCACAAAGGCUUUGCCUGGGAUGGCACCAUACUCACGUUCAACUGGCACCCGGUGCUCAUGGUGACUGGCAUGGUGGUGCUCUACAGUGCUGCGUCGCUGGCGUACCGCCUGCCCCAGUCAUGGGUAGGGCCCAAGCUGCCCUGGAAGUUGGGCCACGCAGCCAUGCACCUGAUGGCCUUCAUCCUGACUGUGCUGGGGCUGGCGGCCGUCUUUAACUUUCACAACCACGAGAAGAUCCCCAACCUCUACUCCCUGCACAGCUGGCUGGGCAUCACCACCGUCUUCCUCUUCGCCUGCCAGGUAGGUUCUCUCCAUCCUCCUUGGCGUUCCCCCUGCUGCUGGCAGCUGGGGGCUCUGUUUGGGGCUUCGCGUGCACCAGCACCAAAUAGUCCCUCUGCUCAUUGCCUGGCGAUGGCCUUGCAGGCACAUCCUGUAGAAUCGACACAUUUGGCGGGCUGGGGGAGAUGGGUGGUUCCCACAUAUCCUGCUCCAGCUCUUACCCUUCAUGCUGCCCGUCUCUGGUCCCAGGGCGCUCUGGGCUGACUUCGUCAUAGCCCGCACUGCACUGACUCUAAACCAUCUUUCCCACCUUCUCUGCUCCCACCUUUCUGGGACUCAGAAGCAAUUCCAGAAGUAGUUUCCAUAAUCUGGCUUUUUUUUUUUUCUUUCCUUUUUUGGUAAUGAUAUGAGUUAUUGGGCCAGGGAUCCGAUCAGAGCCACAGCUGUAACCUGUGCCACAGCUGCGGCAGCUCCGGAUCCUUGAGCCCACGGCGCCCGGCCAGGGAGCAAACUGUGUCCUGGUGCUGCAGAGACGCUGCCGAUUGAGUUGUGCCACUGUGGAAGCUCCAGUAUUUCUAUUCUGAUGUCAGCUCUGUACAGACUGAUUUAGAAUCUACUUCAGGACAGAAACUAACCUGACCACCUUCCAUUUCAUCCUCUAACCGCCCCAUACAUUGAUAAUGUUCUGUGAGCCAGGACAGGAAGGAAGCAGAGACAGACAAGGGUGGCUGGGUUUGCGGGAGAGUGGAGGUAGCCGAGCAUCUCGUUAGGCGACAGUCUCGUUUAUAUUAAAGGAGCGGAGCACAGCUAGGCUGUGGUGCUGGGCAGUGCCUGCUGGGAGGCCUGAGUUGGGAAAGGAGGGUGUCAGUUCACUGAUGGGGAGGGGGCGCUCGUGGGGCGCGCUGACCGUGCCCGCCUUUGGUCACACACAGUACAAGCAGGUGCUUCCUGUGUCCGCAGUGGUUCUUGGGCUUUGUGGUCUUUCUGCUGCCCUGGGCGUCUGUGCGGCUGCGCAGCCUCCUUAAACCCAUCCACGUCUUCUUUGGAGCCUCCAUUCUCUCUCUGGCCAUUGCGUCUGUCAUUUCCGGCAUCAAUGAGAAGCUCUUCUUCAGUUUGUGAGUGUGAUGGGGCCGGAGUGGAGGGGAAGGACUGGGGCCUUCUGCCGUGAUCAUAGGGCCCAUCCAGGGGAAGAGAAACCUUUAGGGUUGGGCUUGUCCCUGACCUGGAAGGUGAUGGAAUUGGUAUUUCUUUAGAUUGAGAUUGGUAAAUUGGUCAGCAAGUAUUUAUCCAGCAUCAAAUUAAUUGAGAACCUACUCUGUGACAGAAACUAUUCUAAACACCUUAAAUUUAGUCCUCUAACUGCCCUAUACGUUGGCCGUGUUGUAAUUGCAACUUAGAAAUUAGGGAACAGAGGCACCGAGAGCUGAAGUCAAGUACCUGAGGGCACACAGCCAGUAGGUGGCAGAGCUUUGAGUUAGGACUAGAGCCUGCAUGCCUCAUCACUACCAGUGUCCUUUUUUUUAAGCCAAGGGGCAGGGGAGUGAAAAGCAAACAAGAUUUGAGGUCAGACCUGGGUCUAGUUCUUGGCUGUGCUGUCUCCUAGUUAUUUAACUCUGGACACAUUCGUGCCACAUCUGAGAGCUUCAGCGACCUCAUAGGUGAAAAGCAUUCUGCAGACACUUGAGGCAGAGACUUAAAAAGUAUGUUAACCUGCCAGGUCACAGUGGGUCCUGGGAAGCUUUUCUUGAGUCUCCCACUGGGCAAAAACAUGUGGAAAAGUUUCUUGAGGGCCCACGUUGUUCUGUCAUCUUCAGGAAAAAUGGCACCACUUCAUACUCCAACCUGCCCGAUGAGGCCGUCUUCGCGAACAGUGCGGGGAUGCUGGUGGUGGUCUUUGGGCUGCUGGUGCUCUAUAUCUUACAGGCCUCGUCUUGGAAACGCCCAGAGCCAGGGCUCCAGGCCGAAAGACAGACCCUGUUGCACGGGGAGGAGUGAAGCAGGAGGGGGUUCCAGGAGCAGUCGCCAGGCGGUCUUCAGAGGCUCUGCUUUCCCGGGGGCUCCCAUCUGGUUCAGGGCCCCAGUCCCCCUCGCCUCUGUGCUGGGCCUGCUCUCCCCACAGCCUGCUGCUCACCCCCUCUGCAUGGUGGCUUUGGCUGCUCCAGCCCUUCUUGGCAUUGACUUCCCACGUCCUCUUUUUACCCCGGCCCCCUUGCCCUAGCUGCCCGCGCCACUCCUGCUCACAAGGAGUCAAGGUCAUUUCCCCUUCAGACCCCCGGGGAUGUGGGAGAAAAGCCUGAUGGCUCAGAUGAACUGGGAGUGGAGCGCAGCCUGUGCUGUGAAUGAGGGGGAGGCGAUGCUUCCAUCAGCUUUCCCCGUGCAGGUCAGGCCGCCCGCCCUGGGUUGCGCUUCUUCUGCUCUGGUCUCCAUCCAGCCCCUCCAGACGUGAGGCGGGGCGGACACGCGUGCACGCGGUGGAGGGAGAGGGGCCAAGGGCAGAGCUGCUCCGCAGAGAAGCUGAGGGCCCCCUGCUCCCGCUGCCUCGUGUCUACACACGUGCCCUUCUUGCUGCUGCUACAGCCGGGGCCUGGAUCCCGGCCUUUCCCUGUGACUGACACGCUCAUCACCAUCGGACAGCUCUCUGAACCCUGGUGGCCCUGUGUCCGAACCCUGGAAGCAGCCUUUCCCUUCCCUCCCCUCGUCAGGCCCGGGCACCUUCAACCUUGCUGUCUCGGCAGGGCCCUUGGCCAGCGGUUGUCACGUGCCAGCUCACCAUGAAACGUGCCGAAGAUGUGGUGUGUCGUGCCCAGCAGAGCCCUGGGAGCACGGCCGCUUCUGGAGGCUUCCUUGCUGAGUGUCAAAGUGCCUCACGUGCCCGUACAGCAGCCACCCGCCUGGCAAACCCAGUCUCAGGUGUAAUGCUGCAGCGUGUGCCCUUGCUCUUUUCCCGACGAGACCGGGGUGGCGGGUCUUGCUUCUGUGUUGGCAUCGCGGCUUUUCCUGCUCUCUGCAAACCAGUGCUGCCAGGCCCUGGGCUCAGUACUGUUGUGCUUAGGUGACAAGCAGCACAACACCAGGGGCCCCAAGUGGGCUUACUGCUUGGCAGGUGGCCACAAAGCUGGCCGUCCACCCUGCCCCAUGUGGCCAGAUGCUGGCAGGAGGCUACGGUGGAACUUCCUGAUCCACUGGAAUGACUGCCAGGCACCUUGGUCCCAGGACCACCUACACCCCUUUCUACGUGGGUAGGCGUUUCACUUACGAAGCUGGAUUUUCAUUAAAUGUGUUUUUUAAGAAUCAAAGCCUGCUUUGCUAAAAUGACACUGUGGUUAAAUGAACUCUGUACAACUUGCAGAAGCCUCAGGAUAAUUCCGACCUUUAGGCCUGGGAAGGGGCAAACCAGAAGGCACCAAAGAUCACAUGGCUGUCCUCCUGGAACUGCACGUGACCCUUGGUAGAGGGGAUGUCUUUAGUAGUGAGUGGCUUUUGAGCACUUGGUUAUCUGACGAGGAAGGAGAGGUUUCCUGUUUUAUAAUCUGAAACCCGAGACUCAAACAGGACAGUGACUUGCCCUAGGUCACCCAGCCAGGUGCCUGAUGCCAGGGUGUCCUUCCAGCUGCUGGGUGUGUGUGUCUGUGCCUUGUGGUCAGGGACCUGGGGUGUGGCUGACGAACAGGGGACCCUGGGCAGAGAGUGAGGAAGCUUACAGCCAAGUUUGGGUAAAAUAAAUAAUGGCCCCUCUCCCAGUGUGACCGGCUGUAGAUGCCACCUCCCGAUGGAGCAGACGGCCCGCAAGGCGGUGGAUGCAGACACCAGUGAUCCCAGUAACUCCCAAAUCAGUGAAUGCUGUUAGUCUGGUGCUGAGAACAGCACAGCCGCUGGGUGUGGUGUGUGUGCCAGAAGGACGCAAGUGGGGGUCCCAGUGGAGGUAGCCCAGCGGCACUGACCCCUGCCUUUGGGUCUCGGCUGGAGGAGGUGGCGAUGAGGUGAGCACUGCAGC